AAUGCCAUGUCUGCCUAGGUGAUAAAAUAAUGUUUGGUGCAUAGAAGGCACUAAAAAUAUAGCUUUUGAAUGAGUGAAGGACAUUUUCCCCAAAAUUAUUGUCAUUUGUCAUUUGUCUCUGCUGGAAGUCUGUGGGGGCAGAUAACUGUUCUUGGGGAUCUCCCAAGUGUCCUGAGGAGGUCCUUAGGAGCCACAGCCUGCAUUCUCGUCGCCUCGCCCCUCAUGUGGAUGUGAACCAGACUGGAAGAGGCAUCCCUUUGCCUUGAGGCAACAGUUUCAAGAGCAGAGUCUCUUUGGCCAGCUCUUAAACUUCUCCCAAGUUAGCCCUCCCCGGAAUGAACAGGAGGCUCCUCUGCCCAUCUAGUGUCAAGGUGCCGACUCAAGAAGUCAUCCUUUGUCUUCCUCUUCCAUUCUCUUGCUGAUAUUGUCCACGGACACAGGCACAGCACUUUUGUACGUUGCACGAUUUGCUCUUUGCCCUUUAUAAUCAUUUCUACUAUUGAAUAAUUCAUCCUAUAUUCGUGUGAAGAGUUCCUCUUUUUCUCAUCACUUCCAGUUUUUAAAAAUCUCUUCUGUUUCCAUGGUAAUUGUAUAUAUCAACAAGGACUUUGAACACUCUCCAUUUUCUUGGAUUUAUUGAAUCUGAUGUGGUUAAUAAUGCUUGGGAAAACUUCUCAAAAAAAACUCUCACAAACACAGCAAAUGCAUUGAUGGUGAACAGCACAGUUUUUGAGUUCAAAAGGCAGCAGUGUACAUUCCAUAUCAUCUGCUGUUACCAUGUAGUAUGUUCUCACAGGAGAGCUUGGGAUUUUAUCUGUGAAUAUCCAUAGGUUGAAAGUUGGUAAGCAAAAGAACAUCUGUAACUAACCUACUCUUUUUCUGCAGGUUUGUUGUUGGGAUAAAAGUUAACGUGCUCUAGUGCACUGUAGCCUAUAAAAUGUUAUCCUUUCUGUGACGCAUGCCCCAUUUCCACCAUGCCAUGUGGGGACACAAGGAACAGAUCUUUGUCCACAGGAAAAGUGGAAACUCAGAGUUGAAUUUCCUCUUCACUCCAAAGCAUGACUAUGCAUGCACACACACACACACACACACACACACACACACACACACGUGCGCGCACACACACACAUGCACUCAAACUCCUAAGAGCUGGAGGCAGGGAUCCUGGCUCAGAGUUAGAGCUCUCACAACAGGAAGGAUAGAGACAAAAUUCCUAGUUGCUGAUCACUUGCUAACUCUCUUCAUUUUCAGAAGAAAACACCUCCUGGCAUUUGCUUAAUGGAAGGCACCUUUCUAGUCAAUCACUUGACAAGUGUUCUGAAUUGGAUUUUAAAAGGACAGAGGUUGAGAUUAGGGUUAGGGAUUUUUAUUACAUCUCAAAGUGCCUGUAUAAAUUACACAGUGGGGAUUUUCAGUUGAAAGCUUUUCCAGUUAAUAAACAGGAGACUCAUGUAUCGGCAUUUUUGUAAUGCUAUAAGAAUGGGGAAGUGUAGGUUCUGGCACGUAUUCAUGUAAACAAAAAGUGAGUGACGAAUUUUUACCUUGAGUUUUAGAAUCACACUCUUAUAAAUAAUUUACAUACAAGGAGAGAUCAUAGAGAUAACCUGUAGAAAAACAGAAAGAUGAAUUUUUUCCAGCUAAACUUGUCUUGGUGCAGAACUAUCUUGGGCAUAUCAGAUUUUAUAAAGAUACUUUUCCUCUUACAUUUCACACUUCACUUUCACUAUCCAGAAGCCAAGUGGAGGCAUUUUCCCUGAUGAGUGGGAGUUGUAAGGACUAGCUCAAGAGUAGAAUAGGCUUAGGCAAAACUAUAAUGUAGGGGAAAUCAUCCAUGUAACCUGAAUCCUAUUUUAGUGUCUUGAGCCUAAGCCCUAUCUUAAUCCCCAGAACCCCAAAGUUCUGCAGACAAAAAGUUCCCCAUAGAAGUGGCCUCCUGAUCUUUAAACAGAGCCAUGGGCUUAAUCUUCCUUUUGCUGCCAUCUAAAAUUUAAUAAUUCUAAUAUUCAUUUCCUCAGGGCCUUAGCUUGUGGACAAGCUAAUGUAUGCCAACAUACCCAGAGUUCUUAUGAUCUAAAAGUGUUAUUCUCCUGGGUAAGUGGUAAGUAGUUUGCAUUUCAACAAGGAUAAAUAAAUGCCUUGGUUCAAAAGAAUGACAGGGUAGGGUUGUUAAAAAUAUUACUUCCUCCAGGAAGCUUCUGCCUCCCUCUACCCUCAUGGAUUAGAAGUUCCCAGGAAGGCUCCUAUGUAAAGCAUGCUUCUCCUGUCAUGGUAUUUGGCACCCGUCAUUGACAACACUUGUUUAAUAAGCUCUGUGGGUACAGCCCCAUGUAUAUUCAUACACAUAUACUGUUGUAUUAAUUCCCACCACCCGGCUCCCUGAUGGAACACUUGAAGGACAUUAAUAAAUACUGUCUGUUGAAGAAUGAACAAAGCUAAGGGUUUCAGGGACUCUAGAAAGAUAAUAGAGUGAGGGAGAGACAAGCAGUAUUUGAAGGCCAGAUGGCUUUCACUGAUGCUUCCUACUUGGUUAUUUUAUAACUGACAAACCUCUGAAAAUGCCACUUAAAAGUAAUAGUUUUCAGUAUCACUUUAAGUGCUUUAGAAUCACACUCAGCAUUGGAUGUAAAUGGUUAAGGAGGGUAGCCUCGGUCUGCUACUGCCAUAGAUACCUUUAAUAUACAGAAAUUACACAGAAAGUGUCAUGGCAUUCUUGUUUUACCCAGUGAGAAAAUCCACUGUUCAAAUCGAAACCAAUAUGGAAAUUACUCCUUCCAUCAAAAGGAGCAGAGGACGAAAACAAAAACAAAAACAAAAACAAAAUCUCCUCAGCUCCACAGUGAUGACAUAGAAAGUUCAGAUAAGAAAGAGAAAGAAGGCUUUGGGAAAACAAAAAUAAGAAAGUAUUUCAAUGGCAUUCCAAGUAAAUAGUGGCUAGAGUUUUGGCUCAAUGUACUAGCAACACAGUGAUAAGGGCUCUUCUCAAAGUAAAGUGAACUUGGAGCAAGUGAAUGAGGAAACACUGAAAACGGGUGGGCUGAGAAAAAUGCACCCUCUCAGAGCAUGCAGUGAAGGCUCAGCUGAAUUAAUACAAGGAAAGGAAAUUUUACCCCAGACUAUAGAUCACUCGUUUAACCUUUCUCAUGAGAGUCUUCUUCAGUUGUUAGUGAGGGGGAAUUGUAGAUUUAUAUUAGACCUGCAUUGUAAUAUAACAGAGUUUAGCAAUGCACUGUGGCUAAGACAGCUAUAUAACCAACUGGAUGUAGUUCUUAGUGAUACCACACUCAGUCAUUUUCAGUUCUGCUUUCCUUUCGUUUUCCUUUUUUCCUUCUCAUUUUCUCUCUUUCUAUCAUACAUCAAGUUAAAGAAUGUCUUUAUAUGCUGCCAUAGACAAAUAUAUAUGAACCAGGUAGACCAAGAAACUAAGUAGUACACAAAGUGGCCAAACCCAGUAAAAGCCUAUAACUUCUACACGUUUUACACAUACACACACACACACCACACUCAUUUAAUUCCCUCAACACCUCUACUCUAUAAAAAUUUUAUGCCUCCCCUUUUUUUGGUUUAGUAAACAAAUUCAGGUAGGCUCAGUCAUUUGACCAAUGACAAACAACUAGAAUAUGGAGCAUGAAUUUGAAGCAUCAGAGUCUGUACCCUUUUCUCUGAAUAUUUUGGGAGAUAAUUGGUACAAAGUAAAUAAAAAUCAAUAUUGUCAUUAUUGUCUACUUAGAUAACAAUGCAGUGUCUUCAUUCAUAAUGGAUUGCAGUUCCCCACUCAGGAAGAGGACAUUUUUUUUAAAACUACAUGAUACAACUGAGAGCUUGGAAGCUAUCCAUGCAUAAGUUUUAAAACCCAGCAGCUUCAUGGUUUCCUCCUUCUGUUGGCCUGGCCAGUGGACACAGUGGUCACGUUCCUGGCAUGGAGAUGUCAUUCAUGGUCUCUCAGACCCAAGUGUUACCAGUGAAGGGUGUCCAGGUUCUUGGCGCUUUGAACAAAGAAUUGGACAAAACUCACAAACAAAGCAAGAAAAGAAAGAAGCAACAAAAGCAGAGAUGUAUUGAAAAUGAAAACACACUCCACAGGGUGGGAGCAGGCCGAGCAAGCAGCUCAAGGGCCCAGUUACAGAACUUUCUGGGGUUUAAAUACCCUUUAGAAGUUUCCAUUGGUUACUUGGUGUACACCCUAUGUAUAUGAAGUAGUGGCCUGUGAUCAGUCUGAUUGGUUGGAAGGGACCAAUCAGAAUGCAAACGUCUGAUUAGUUGUGGAAAGUGACCAAUUAGAGGCUGAAGUGAAGUUACAAAGUAAUACUCCCACGCAAAUGAAGACUUGGCCCACAACCAACCUGAUUGGUUGUGAGAGGGGACCAAUCAGAGGGACUUUCAGUUUUUCACCUGCAAUGCAGAAAAAGGGUGGCAGGUGAGGGGUGUUGCAAAGGGAGUAGCCUCUGGUCCUUUUGUUACUUGGGCACUUGGGCGUGGAAAGUGGGGGUUUUCCUUUUGAUUUAGUUCUAGGAAGUCAGCGUGAAUUGGCCUUACAUUCCCUGCCUCCAGACCCUAUUCUCCUGCCUCACAAGUGCUCCUAGGAGCUGUACAUGCCUGUCUUUGUCCCCAUGUAGUCAGCUCGUUACAGGUGGGUCCUGCUGGGUCUUUCGUUCUUGCUUCUCUGCUUCAAGAUGGCUAAUAAGUCCUGGUCCAGUGAGUCCCCAGUGCAGACAUAGAGCAGAAGGGAAGUGGGUCCAGUUGCAUUUCCUGCAGUUUAAUAAAGAACCCUGUGCUCUCUGGCCCAUUACCUAAAGCUGAUAUUGUGCUUGGAACGUGUAGUGUUAUCCAAUCCAGCUUUACCACUGCUAAAGCUGAUACCACGCUUUGAUCCUCUGCUUGCUCAUUUUGCCAAGUUCUUAACUGCGUGGAACUGGAAGGUGAGGGCUGGAUGAUUGAUUUUUCACCCUGCCCCCAAACUCCAACAACCGAAACCAAGGGUUCUUGAAGAGAGAGGGGCAGGGCAGCAACAGGGAGACUGAAACUUGGGGUGGGGGGGGGGCGGGGGGAGGGGGGCGGACGGAAUGUUUUUGAAGUGUGUGUUUGCCUAAGGUGUGUGUAGAAAGGUAGCUACUUUUCAGUCUCUGCCUGCCUUUAAUCCAUUACAAUGUCCUAAUUAAAAACAUUUAAAAAGCUACAUUGGAAAAUGAUCCCUGAGGCUAGAAUGCUGUUGGCACAGUGAAAAAGACGCAAUCAAUAAGUAAACAGGCAAUGUCAGCCCGGAGAGCUUUCAGAACAACAUGCCUACUCGGGGGAAAAAAAAUUACAAGUCGCUUUAGCCUAUUUAAAUAUUUUCCAAGAUCUUUGUUAAAUUUCAGGUAAUAAUAUUUCUUCCUUUGAACAAGCGUUGUAUGUUUGCCUUUGACUGAGAAUGGCCUAGGCUAGAGACCAUUUGGUAUUCAACUUGUGACUAUUUUAGUAUGGGGCUGGACCCCAAAAAUUCAUGCUCAAUGAAAUGAUUUUCACUUACUGAGAUGAAUUUACUUUUUGCUUCCUUCAGCAAUUCAUCAAUCUAAUGGAAGAAAGAGUAGCUAUCAUCAUAAUGAGAAUAGACUUCUACGAGUAUGAGUCAAUGUCAAUACUUUAUUUAAUAAUGCAAAUUCUAUUACUAUAUAUUUGGUCUCAAUCCAAAUUUGCUUUAAAUUGAGUUUCCUUGCCAUUGCACACUCCUAUCUUUCUGAACACACACCACCCCACACACACACCAUACACACUUGUUUCAUUGCGCUUCAUUUUAUUGCACUUCUCGAAGAAUGUGUUUUUUACAAAUUGAAGAUUUGUGGCAACUUUUCAUCGAGUGAGUCUAUUGGCAUCAUUUUUGCAAGAGCAUAUGCUCACUUCCUGCCUCUGUGACAGCAUUUUUUAGCAAUAACAUAUUUUUAAUGAAGGUAUGUACAUUGUUUUUUAGACAUAAUGCUAUUGCACACUUGACUAAAAUGUAGCCUAAGUAUAAUUUUUAUAUGCCAUGGGAAACUAAAAAAAGUGACUUACUUUAUUGUAAUAUUUGCUUUAUUACUUUGGUCUGGAACUGCCUCACACUAUCUCUGAAGUAUGCAUGUAUAGCUUUUCAUAACACAGAUAUCACAUUUGACCAGAUCCUAUUGUUACUGAACAAUGUUGAUGCUAACAUUGAUGAUAUCAAUCACUAUUACUGGAAUCAUUAUCAACAUAUCAAUAAAUAUUUUUAGAACAUUUUGAAAUUGUCAGCUGGGUUUUGGUUAAAUACUUCUUGUCUGAUAUAUUAUAUCCCAAAACAAUAACAGUAGCUGAAAAUACCAGAGAAGAUAUACUUUUUAAAGUAACAUAUUGUCAUAACGUAUAAGUAUCAAAAUUUCAUACUGCAGCAUGACUGACAUAAAGAACACUUUGUUGUUGUUGUUGUUGUUUUGUUUGUUUGUUUGUUUUGAGAUGGAGUCUCGCUCUGUCACCAAGGCUGGAGUGCAGUGGCACAAUCUGGCUCACUGCAACCUCCACCUCUCUGGUUCAAGCAAUUCCCCUGCCUCAGCCUCCAGAGUAGCUGGGAUUACAGGCGCAUGCCACCACGCCUGCCUAACUUUUCUGUAUUUUUAGUAGAGAUGGGGUUUCACCAUGUUGGCCAGACUGGGCUCGAACUCCUGACCUCAGGCAAUCCGCCCAUUUUGGCCUCCCAAAGUGCUAGGAUUACAAGUGUGAGGCACCACGCCCAGCCACAGAACACUUUUAAACCACUGAACUGAUAAAGGGGCUAUAAAACUCUUCUAUUUCAUUCUUUUUUUUUUUGAGACAGAGUCUUGCUCUGUCAUCCAGGCUGGAGUGCAGGGUGGCAAUCUCAGCUCACUGCAACCUCUGUAUUCCAGGUUCAAGCAAUACUUGUGCCUCAGCCUCCUGAGUAGCUGGGAUUACAGGUGUAUGCCACCAAGCUCAGCUAAUUUUUGUUCUUUUAGUAGAGACGGAGGUUUUGCCAUGUUGGCCAGGCUGGUCUCGAACUCCAGACCUCAAGUAAUCUGCCUGCCUUGGCCUCGUAAGUGCUGGGAUUUCAGGCAUGAGUGACUGCACCUGGUCUAUUUCAUUCUUUAUAAGCAGAAAACUCUAAAUACUUCUAGGAUAGGUGGUUCUGAGCAGUAGGCAUCUAUGUAUUUAAGAAUAUUAUGGAAUCUUCUGGUUUCUCCAAUCCUGUCCACCUAUCUUCAUUAGGAUGUCCUGGGCGUCUCAUGUGUUAGCAGUGCCGUUGACCCUUGAACAACACAGGUUUCAACUGCACUGGUCCACUUAUACAUGGGUUUUCUUUUGCCUCUGCUAUUCCUGCUAAACAAACCCCCUCCUCUUCCGCCUACUCAACAUGAAGAUGAUGAGAAUGAAGACCUUGAUGACUGAUCCACUUCCACUUAAUGAAUAAUAACUAUAUUUGUUGUAAUUUUCUUAAUAACAUUCUUUUUCUAGCUUACUUCAUUGUAAGAACACAGUAUAUAAUACAUAUAAUAUACAGAAUAUGUGUUAACUGACUGUUAAUGUUAUUGGCAAGGCUUUGGGCCAUCAGUGGGGUAUUAGUAGUUAAGUUCUUGAGGAUCAAAAGUUAUACUUGGAUUUUCAACUGCAUGAGGGGUUGGUGCCCCUAACCUCCACAUUGUUCAAGGGUCAACUGUAAUUUCCCAGCUCCUGUUUCUCUGGUUUCUGACCUGCUACUGACCUGCUUCCAGCUUGGCUUUGUAGUCUCCUACUUCAUAUCCUCCUUUAUUCCUUGAACCAGGCCUUUGACUUUGGGAUCCCUUCAAGAACACUUGGCUCCUUCCCUCCUGGCUACACAUACACAUUGUUAGGAGGGAUAAGCACCCUAGCAGGCUCUAGAUGCAGCUGCUGUCCUAGUUUCUCUUGUGGGUGGAUUUGGGACAGCAGGGAUUCAGACCAUAAUGUGGUUGUUCCUCAUCCUUCUUUACCUAACUAUUAAUCAUUGGAUUUCUUCAAGGCUUAGUCCUAGGGAAGCCUACUUACUAACCCUGUACGCUCUCUGAAAGAAGAAAAAUCUACACUUAUUGAGUAGUUAAUUGAGUGGUUACUAAAUACUGAGAACUAUGCUAAAAGUUUCAAAUGCAAGAAGCCAUUUUAAUACUCCCAACAGCAUUAUAAGGUAGGGAAUAGUAUAUUCUCUGUUUUUAAAUAUAUGGGAAAUUCAGAGUAUUUGAGUAAUUUCUUCAUGGUUGCACAGCUAGGAAGUAGCAGAGCUGGGCUGCAAACUGAGAUGGCUUCAUUCUAGGACUCCUGCUCUGAACCACUACCCUAUAUUGGCAUUGGUUUCUAUGGAAAUCUUUAAGUUAUCUCAUCCACACUUUUGAGUUCAAUUGCCAUCAAAGCAUUGAUGACUCCCAAACUUCAGUUGCCUACUCAACAUCUCCAUUUGAAUGUCUCAAGAACACUUCAAACUAACCGCAUUGAAAAGUGAACUCAGGUACCCCAACCCCUUCAAACCCAAUCUUCUUACGUGUUUUCUUCAUCAGUGAAAGGAAAUCAUCUUCCAUUAGUGGGAUGAGCCAGAUACCUCGGUGUCAUCACUGGCUCAUCACUCUGCUUCAGUUCUGUACCCAACCCAUUAUUAAGUCCAGUGAUUAACACCUCUGAAAUGUGUUUCAAAGCAGUCCUCUUCUCUCUGUCUUCGCAGCAACCACCUUUGUCCAAGACACAUUAUCUUUCAUCCAAUCUAGUGGAUAACGCUGUGCUAGUUAGGGUUCUUCAGAGAAACAGGAACAAUAGGCUAUAUAGACAGUCCUUGACUUUGGGUGGUUCAACUUAAGACUUUUUGACCUUACAAUGGUGUGAACCUGUCUCAGUUUUGACAUAAUAUAGUACAGUAUUCAAUAAAUGACAUGAGAUGUACAACACCUUAUUAUAAAACAGGCUUUUUGUGGCUGGGCGUGG
rnacentral:lncRNA from 1 species